UUUGGGUCAAAUGGGAUGGCAUUUAAAUUCAAUGUAUUAGUAUAUAGAAGCAUGGGUUUCAACACACCAACUAAUACUAUUCUUUUUUAUUUAUUUAACCAACUAAUCCAUUUCGGGUUUAGUAGAGAUUCUCUUAGCAAUUGCUUAAAAUUCUAAAUAUCAGUUAUUUUUUUAUAAAAUAGCGGUAACAUUUCGAUUUCUAUUUUCUUACAAAUAAAUAAAUAAAUAUACGGGGGAGCUCAGAUAUUCAUAGAUAUGUUGAAGAAAGGCUAUAUUUCCUAAAUAAAGUAUACAGUGAUCGAGGCUGGAUCAUAUCAUGGGAUCCAAAACAUAGGAUUCACUGUGCAAACGGCGAGUUCGAUUUUCAAAGGCCGUAUAGUCUCUUUUUGUUUUCUUCUUCUUGGCUUCAAAACUAAUUUAAGUUUUAGUAACUAUUCAGAUAUUCUUUAGCAAUUUGUUUCUGGUCUACCUUUUCUCUAAAAUCGUUUUCUAAGUCGAAAUGAAAAUGAAAACUGAAAAAGUUUUUUUUUUUUUGAAACAAACUGAAAAGUUUCUGUAUUGGAUUUUCUGAACUUAUUCACCAAAUUGGACAAAUAAUAUGCCAGAUUUUUAUUUGGUUUAAUCUUUUUUUUUUUUUUUUUAGAUUUUUAUUUGGUUUAAUCAAAGAUCACCAUCAAUGGUCUGAUCCAUUCUUUACGAUACUUGUAAUCCCGCAAUGAUCACUAAUCAAGCUUACCUUAUUUAAAACAUGCAUUGUUCGAUAGCCAAACUUCCUUUUACUGGUUUUGCGGUUUUGUUUUUUUCUUUGUAUGCCCUCUGAUCGUCCAUCGUCACUUAGCCCGUCUGAAGCAUUUAAGUGCUCAUUGACAGUCUGAAACUCAAUUAAAAAUCCAGCUUAUUCAUUUCAAACUUCAUGAUAAAUAAACUCAAUGUAGAAAUAAACUUCACAUGAUCAUCAAUUUCCUUUGAAAUAAAGAAUUCUAUAGAAGCGGAUCGUUACAUUUCUCUAUCCUAAUAGCGUGGUGGUGGCUUUUUGGUGAAACAGUGAGACGUGGGGGUCAGGUUUGUUUCGUUACAGAACCAUCAUCAUGUGUUUCCCCUCUCCUUGCAGCUUUCUUUGACGAUGAUGGGCAGAGUGUUUGAGGAAGUGCUCUUUGGUGGCCGUGGAGACGAGUCGGUUGUGGGGUGCGGCCUAGUCGAAUUGAUAUAUCGAUGUUUUUACUAGUUUCUAACAUAUGUUUUGAGUAUUUUAUCUAGUCAAAAUAUGUGAGUUUUAAAGUCUUUU
rnacentral:lncRNA from 1 species